ACCCUGAUUUUCCGUGUCGUUUUUCUUCGUGACAGACCUGGGGUGAUGUCGGGAAAGGACAUUUUCCUAUCGUUAAAGGGUGAGAUACAUUUUUUAAACCAGUGAUUUAAUUCCAAAAUAUUUAGUACAUACGUUUUAAAGACGUGUUAGAAUUAAUGACAAAAUUGUACUACUAUUUAAACAAGAGUCAUUCGUAUUUUAUGUAAAAACAUUGGAGGCCUACAGUUGUACCGCACACUCACGCACGCACGCACCCGGAUUUUCUGUAUUUUUUUCUUCGUGACAGACGUGGUUGAUGGCUGGAAAGGACAUUUUCCCUUCGUUAAAGGUUCUCACUGAAGGGGAUAAUUCUCACUGAAACUACAGAAUAAAGCCACCAGUUAAAAUCAUGGAACGGUUGUGCUCGUGGUUACUGAAGGGAGCUACAAGACCAUUAUUCGUUUCGAAUUCACCAACUCAAAGACGCUUGCCCGCUCCAUCAUAACUCCGUAAGUUUUCCCUCCCUGUGUAGAUCAAACGUCCUGCCUGUAAAUCCUGGGUAUGCCCACAUCUUUAAUGAAUAAGAUGUGUAGAAAACUGUUUAGCCAUAGUUAAAGGCCUUUCAUAAAGAGGCUGUCAUGAUUGCCUGUGCCUCAUGUUUAACACGUAUUGCUUGUUACCGAAUACUACUGUUGUACAUUUAAUAUCUACUAGCCGAUUUCGUCGCAUUUGCACAAAUUCUGUCAUGUUACUGUGGUCUUUUUAAAAGUCAAUAAAUAUGUGUGUAAAGUGUCCAUGUUUGUUUCACUGUAUAUUUGUUUAAGCCCUCCUAGAAACACCUAAUUAAAGGCCUUUCAUAAAGAGGCGGUCAUGAUUGCAUGUGCCUCAUGUUUAACACGUAUUGCUUGUUACAGAAUACUACUGUUGUACAUUUAAUAUCCCCUAGCAGAUUUCGUUGCCUUUGCACAAAUUCUGACAUGUUACUGUGGUCUUUUUAAAAGUCAAUAAAUAUGUGUGUAAAGUG